AACGAACGCUGGCGGCAGGCUUAACACAUGCAAGUCGAGCGCCCCGCAAGGGGAGCGGCAGACGGGUGAGUGACGCGUGGGAAUCUACCCAUCUCUACGGAAUAACGCAUGGAAACGUGUGCUAAUGCCGUAUACGUCCUUCGGUAGAAAGAUUUAUCGGAGAUGGAUGCGCCCGCGUUGGAUUAGCUAGUUGGUGGGGUAAAGGCCUACCAAGGCGACGAUCCAUAGCUGGUCUGAGAGGAUGAUCAGCCACACUGGGACUGAGACACGGCCCAGACUCCUACGGGAGGCAGCAGUGGGGAAUAUUGGACAAUGGGCGCAAGCCUGAUCCAGCCAUGCCGCGUGAGUGAUGAAGGCCCUAGGGUUGUAAAGCUCUUUCACCGGUGAAGAUAAUGACGGUAACCGGAGAAGAAGCCCCGGCUAACUUCGUGCCAGCCGCCGCAGUAACAC
rnacentral:rRNA from 1 species